GCAGGCCUAACACAUGCAAGUCGAGCGGUAGCACAAGAGAGCUUGCUCUCUGGGUGACGAGCGGCGGACGGGUGAGUAAUGUCUGGGAAACUGCCUGAUGGAGGGGGAUAACUACUGGAAACGGUAGCUAAUACCGCAUGACGUCUUCGGACCAAAGUGGGGGACCUUCGGGCCUCACGCCAUCAGAUGUGCCCAGAUGGGAUUAGCUAGUAGGUGGGGUAAUGGCUCACCUAGGCGACGAUCUCUAGCUGGUCUGAGAGGAUGACCAGCCACACUGGAACUGAGACACGGUCCAGACUCCUACGGGAGGCAGCAGUGGGGAAUAUUGCACAAUGGGCGCAAGCCUGAUGCAGCCAUGCCGCGUGUAUGAAGAAGGCCUUCGGGUUGUAAAGCACUUUCAGCGGGGAGGAAGGCGAUAAGGUUAAUAACCUUGUCGAUUGACGUUACCCGCAGAAGAAGCACCGGCUAACUCCGUGCCAGCAGCCGCGGUAAUACGGAGGGUGCAAGCGUUAAUCGGAAUUACUGGGCGUAAAGCGCACGCAGGCGGUCUGUCAAGUCGGAUGUGAAAUCCCCGGGCUCAACCUGGGGAACUGCAUUCGAAACUGGCAGGCUAGAGUCUUGUAGAGGGGGGUAGAAUUCCAGGUGUAGCGGUGAAAUGCGUAGAGAUCUGGAGGGAUACCGGUGGCGAAGGCGGCCCCCUGGACAAAGACUGACGCUCAGGUGCGAAAGCGUGGGGAGCAAACAGGAUUAGAUACCCUGGUAGUCCACGCCGUAAACGAUGUCGAUUUGGAGGUUGUGCCCUUGAGGCGUGGCUUCCGGAGCUAACGCGUUAAAUCGACCGCCUGGGGAGUACGGCCGCAAGGUUAAAACUCAAAUGAAUUGACGGGGGCCCGCACAAGCGGUGGAGCAUGUGGUUUAAUUCGAUGCGACGCGAAGAACCUUACCUGGUCUUGACAUCCACAGAACUUUCCAGAGAUGGAUUGGUGCCUUCGGGAACUGUGAGACAGGUGCUGCAUGGCUGUCGCCAGCUCGUGUUGUGAAAUGUUGGGUUAAGUCCCGCAACGAGCGCAACCCUUAUCCUUUGUUGCCAGCGAGUAAUGUCGGGAACUCAAAGGAGACUGCCGGUGAUAAACCGGAGGAAGGUGGGGAUGACGUCAAGUCAUCAUGGCCCUUACGAGUAGGGCUACACACGUGCUACAAUGGCAUAUACAAAGAGAAGCGAACUCGCGAGAGCAAGCGGACCUCAUAAAGUAUGUCGUAGUCCGGAUUGGAGUCUGCAACUCGACUCCAUGAAGUCGGAAUCGCUAGUAAUCGUAGAUCAGAAUGCUACGGCGAAUACGUUCCCGGGCCUUGUACACACCGCCCGUCACACCAUGGGAGUGGGUUGCAAAAGAAGUAGGUAGCUUAACCUUCGGGAGGGCGCUUACCACUUUGUGAUUCAUGACUGGGGUGAAGUCAUAACA
rnacentral:rRNA from 1 species